rnacentral:rRNA from 1 species
GACAGAGGGUGCAAACGUUGUUCGGAAUUACUGGGCGUAAAGCGAGUGUAGGCGGUUUGGUAAGUCGGAUGUGAAAGCCCCGGGCUCAACCCGGGAAGUGCACUCGAUACUGCCAAGCUAGAGUAUCGGAGAGGUUGGUGGAAUUCUCGGUGUAGAGGUGAAAUUCGUAGAUAUCGAGAGGAACACCGGUGGCGAAGGCGGCCAACUGGACGAAUACUGACGCUGAGGCACGAAAGCGUGGGGAGCAAACAGG